rnacentral:rRNA from 1 species
AGUGAACGCUGGCGGUAGGCCUAACACAUGCAAGUCGAACGGCAGCACAGUAAGAGCUUGCUCUUACGGGUGGCGAGUGGCGGACGGGUGAGGAAUACAUCGGAAUCUACUUUUUCGUGGGGGAUAACGUAAGGAAACUUACGCUAAUACCGCAUACGACCUACGGGUGAAAGCAGGGGAUCUUCGGACCUUGCGCGAUUGAAUGAGCCGAUGUCGGAUUAGCUAGUUGGCGGGGUAAAGGCCCACCAAGGCGACGAUCCGUAGCUGGUCUGAGAGGAUGAUCAGCCACACUGGAACUGAGACACGGUCCAGACUCCUACGGGAGGCAGCAGUGGGGAAUAUUGGACAAUGGGCGCAAGCCUGAUCCAGCCAUACCGCGUGGGUGAAGAAGGCCUUCGGGUUGUAAAGCCCUUUUGUUGGGAAAGAAAAGCAGCAGGUUAAUACCCCGCUGUUCUGACGGUACCCAAAGAAUAAGCACCGGCUAGCUUCGUG